CCUACGGGAGGCAGCAGUGAGGAAUAUUGGUCAAUGGACGAGAGUCUGAACCAGCCAAGUCGCGUGAAGGAUGAAUGUCCUAUGUGUUGUAAACUUCUUUUAUAUGGGAAUAAAAUGUUCCACGUGUCGGAUUUUGUGUGUACCAUAUGAAUAAGGAUCGGCUAACUCCGUGCCAGCAGCCGCGGUAAUACGGAGGAUCCGAGCGUUAUCCGGAUUUAUUGGGUUUAAAGGGUGCGUAGGUGGGUUGUUAAGUCCGUUGUGAAAGUUUGGGGCUCAACCGUAGAAUUGCAGUUGAAACUGGCAGUCUUGAGUAGAGUAGAGGUGAGCGGAAUUCGUGGUGUAGCGGUGAAAUGCAUAGAGAUCACGAAGAACUCCGAUUGCGAAGGCAGCUCGCUGG
rnacentral:rRNA from 1 species